GGGCAGCGACGAGGUCAUUGUCAGACAUGGGAAGUCCCACGUCAGCCCUCGGCCAGAUCAUCGGAGACCUCCUUAAUCUUGGUGCAAUGGUCAAUGAUGGAGCCCUUGCACGAUGCGAUGAAGUUUGUGCAACGUCUCCACGAUGGCCUAGGCCAUAGGAAUGGUCGCCUUUUGGUCCAUGAUCAUGCCGAAGACGGAGGAGGAAACUGUGGAGUGGAUUCACGAACAAAUCGAUGAUCCGCCAAUUGUUGUCCUUGAGGUCAAUGUGGUUCCUGAUGUCAUACUUCUCGAUCUGUAGACCGAUCUAGUAGCGCUAGUG